AAACUUCCAACGUCCUUGGUGUUGGAGUCUCCUUGCCCAGGAAGAGAAGCUCGCGACAGAUGUUAUCAAACAAAUCGUUUAUUCUCGAAAAGUUCGAACUUGUUCGUUGCGUUUGAAUAUAUAUGGACGGACGCCAUUUUUCAUGACAUCAUCAUGAUUUGUCAUGUCGUGAGUAUAGCUUCUGACUACCAUAUGUUUGUGAUUUAUGUGAAAUUUGACCACUAUACCGUGAUAGAAUAAUAUUUCCAAUGAAUUAUAAAUAUUUUACAUUGUGAAUUAUAAAUAUUUGUUACAAAUUAUAUCGUACUUGAGAUGAAAAUGAACCAUAUAUCUGCUUAUGGAAUAUGAGGUAGUAAAUCAUUCGAAACAUAAUAACGAUUAAUUAAGCACAUAUACAAUAACGUUUACGAAUGAAUAUUGCGAAUUAUUGUAUGGCUUUAAUGCGGUAUUUAAUGUUUUGAUUGCGGUCUUUGAAAUGGUAUCAUAGGUGCUGAUAUAAUAUCGCGCGAAAAAGGAAAGACCAGUGGUUAAUAUUGCAGGUGCACCAGUGCGUUGCGCUCGUCGAGGGUGGUUUUGACGCUGGUGCCGAGGAAAGGCGCAGAACGUGUUCGAUCGACCCGCGAACGUAGCCUGUGCUCAUACUGCGACAGAGUUCGUUUCAGUUAGGCUCAGUCGCUGUUUGUCCGUCGACAGCGUAUAGUCGCGUCGGCCUACGAUUCCUUUUUUCUUCUUGUUUCUUGCGAACUCUCUCGCAACAGCCGUUCUAUACGUACGCCGCCAGUAUAUCGCGUGAUCAUCGUUCCCGUUGCUCCCCUUACCCUCUCACGUCCUUCGAAGAAGACCUCCCUUUGGUUUUUCCUUGUUUGGAGGGAAUUCAUCGCUCGGACACAUGGACUGCGAAGUACGAGGGUAUUCCAAUUUUUUAAUAUAUAAAUUUAGUUUCCUCUAUGGUGUUAGAGAACAUAACGCGAGCAUUUUAUGAUAUAACGAAUAUAUUCGUAUAUAUUUUAGUUUAUUCAUUCGUCAAAUUUCCCUAGUAGGCCGGCCUGCAGCUCACAUGCAGCACUUAGUAAAAAUUUGUUUUGUUAGAGGUUGGCCAUUCUUCUUGCUAUAAAAAUAUCGUGAAGUCAUAUCAUAUGAUAAAGCACCUUCUGAAAGCUAGAUGCUCGAUAACGAGCCUAAUGAUUCUCGGUAGUUUGUAAUGUCAAGCUUUGAAUUGGCGAGAUCGCUUUGCUGUCAAACCGCCGUCCAGCGGCGACCACAUUCUUUAACCACGUUCAAGGGGUAUAUCACGCUACAGAAACCAUCAAAGGGUUUGCAAGUUAGUUGCCUUUUAGAAGUGGGGCAGUUGGUUGUUACAUGUCAUCCGUAGUUGCUGGCUGUUCUCCUUAGUCGCCAUACAUCGUAGAGACGACGGUUAUAGUCGCCAGUUGUCCUUGCUAAUGGUUGCUUGUUGUCGCUAGUUAGUUCUCGUUAUCGUCAUGUAUUCCAUCAAUCACGCGAAAUUUAACGUAUGGGAUUUUAUUCUUCUUUAUUCUUUCUGUAGGGAGAUUUUU